GACGAACGCUGGCGGCGUGGAUUAGGCAUGCAAGUCGAACGGUAUCAUCCUUUCGGGGGUGAGAGAGUGGCGAACUGGUGAGUAACACGUAGGUUAUCUACCCUCAAGACGGGGACAACCCAGGGAAACUUGGGCUAAUACCGGAUGUGAGCAACUUUUAGUUGUUUGAAAGGUGGCGUAAGCUGUCGCUUGGGGAUGAGCCUGCGUCCUAUUAGUUAGUUGGUGAGGUAACGGCUCACCUAGGCAAUGAUAGGUAGGCGGCCUUAACGGGUGGUCGCCCACACUGGGAUUGAGAUACGGCCCAGACUCCUACGGGAGGCAGCAGUCGAGAAUAGUCUACAAUGGUCGGAAGACUGAUAGUGCGACGCCGCGUGAACGAUGAAUCCCUUCGGGGUGUAAAAGUUCUUUUAUAUGUGAGCAGUGCUUCUUAUAUUAACAGUAUGGGGAAGAGAUAUUAGCAUAUGAAUAAGCAACGGCUAAACUCCGUGCCAGCAGCCGCGGU
rnacentral:rRNA from 1 species